GGAGACGUCGGAUAGUGGUUUAUUCCACCGCCUUGGAAAGGCGGCAGGCUCGAAAGGGUCUCGAGAGUUCGAAUCUCUCCGUCUCCG
rnacentral:tRNA from 1 species